AGAACGAACGCUGGCGGCAGGCCUAAAACAUGCAAGUCUAGGGGGUGUAGCAAUACAUCACCGGCGGACGGGUGCGUAACGCGUGGGAAUGUACCUAUUGGUUCGGAACAACUGAGGGAAACUUCAGCUAAUACCGGAUGAGCCCGAAAGGGGAAAGAUUUCUCGCCAAUAGAUCAGCCCGCGUCCGAUUAGCUAGUUGGUGGGGUUAAAGCCUACCAAGGCGACGAUCGGUAGCUGUUCUGAGAGGAAGAUCAGCCACACUGGGACUGAGACACGGCCCAGACUCCUACGGGAGGCAGCAGUUGGGAAUCUUGGACAAUGGGGGAAACCCUGAUCCAGCCAUGCCGCGUGAGUGAUGAAGGCCUUCGGGUUGUAAAACUCUUUCGACGGGGACGAUAAUGACGGUACCCGUAGAAGAAGCUCCGGCUAACUUCGCGCCAGCAGCCGC
rnacentral:rRNA from 1 species